UCCAGAGAUAGCCGAGGUUGU
rnacentral:misc_RNA from 1 species